rnacentral:rRNA from 1 species
GAUGAACGCUGGCGGCGUGCCUAAUACAUGCCAGUCGAGCGAACAGACGAGGAGCUUGCUCCUCUGACGUUAGCGGCGGACGGGUGAGUAACACGUGGAUAACCUACCUAUAAGACUGGGAUAACUUCGGGAAACCGGAGCUAAUACCGGAUAAUAUAUUGAACCGCAUGGUUCAAUAGUGAAAGACGGUUUUGCUGUCACUUAUAGAUGGAUCCGCGCCGCAUUAGCUAGUUGGUAAGGUAACGGCUUACCAAGGCAACGAUGCGUAGCCGACCUGAGAGGGUGAUCGGCCACACUGGAACUGAGACACGGUCUAGACUCCUACGGGAGGCAGCAGUAGGGAAUCUUCCGCAAUGGGCGAAAGCUUGACGGAGCAACGCCGCGUGAGUGAUGAAGGUCUUCGGAUCGUAAAACUCUGUUAUUAGGGAAGAACAAAUGUGUAAGUAACUAUGCACGUCUUGACGGUACCUAAUCAGAAAGCCACGGCUAACUACGUG